GGGGAUAGUGUACAGAUUCUUGAAUCUCAUUUCAAGACCAAGGAAGUAUGGUUUCACUGGAGAAGAAGUACGUCAACACUUACCUGAGAGCAGAAAGCACGUUGUGUAUGCCAACCGUCUAGAUUCAGGGAUGUGGUGUGGAAAAAGAGCAUAAAUAAAACUCAUUCAGCCUGCUUACAUUUGUACGUGACUGGGGGCUUGGAUCCACCAAGAUGUGUUUUCAGUCUGGAAUCUGCUAGCCCUGGGCUGAGGGAUUUGAUCCUGGAAGCAGUGAGAAGUGUGGGUGGCGUGGUCACAGGGACCGGGAACUAGGACGUGGUUGUGUUUGGAAGGGACCAUUAUGCUACCUACCACAAAUACCAUCAAACAAACAGAGGCUUCGGGAAGAAAGCAGGAGGAGACUACAGAAGUCCCCUACAUAUGAACCUUUGAGUUGUGAACUUUCAAAGAUUUACGCAUUCAAGGAGCCAGAACCUGAGCCGUCAGCGUCAGGCAUGAGUGAAACUUCAGCCUGCCCUCCAAUUCCUCUUGCUGACAACCCUUCAGCCCUACCAUCUCCCACCUCCUCUCCUCCUCCAGUGAGUAACUCUUGCCUCUUCACUCGAUGCCAGCCCCUGGAUGCCAGUUGUUGUACUGUACUCCUAUACUUUUCAAGGUACUGUACAAUAAGAUUAAAAAUGUUUUCUUUGCUU